rnacentral:rRNA from 1 species
AGGAGUGGAGCCUGCGGCUUAAUUUGACUCAACACGGGAAACCUCACCAGGCCCAGACACUGGAAGGAUUGACAGAUUGAGAGCUCUUUCUUGAUUCAGUGGGUGGUGGUGCAUGGCCGUUCUUAGUUGGUGGAGCGAUUUGUCUGGUUAAUUCCGAUAACGAACGAGACUCUAGCCUACUAAAUAGACGUUACACUUUCCAGUAUCUCGAAGGCUCACAUCUCUCAUUUCUUUACUUCACAUCACUGUGCAUUUCGGUGUUUCAGUUGGUGUGUGGUGGGUGGGAGUUUGUGGUUUUUACUACUGGCGUACAUAUAUAUCUUCUUAGAGGGACAGGCGGCUUCUAGCCGCACGAGAUUGAGCAAUAACAGGUCUGUGAUGCCCUUAGAUGUUCUGGGCCG